UACGAAGGGGGCUAGCGUUGCUCGGAAUUACUGGGCGUAAAGCGCACGUAGGCGGCUUUCUAAGUCGGGGGUGAAAUCCUGGAGCUCAACUCCAGAACUGCCUUUGAUACUGAAGAUCUUGAGUUCGGGAGAGGUGAGUGGAACUGCGAGUGUAGAGGUGAAAUUCGUAGAUAUUCGCAAGAACACCAGUGGCGAAGGCGGCUCACUGGCCCGAUACUGACGCUGAGGCACGAAAGCGUGGG
rnacentral:rRNA from 1 species